AUUAGAAAGCUUAAGGCAGGGCGGGGUUUAUGGCCGUUUCUUCCUCAGAGGGAACGUUAUUUACUUUAGGCAGCCGCCGGCUUUAAAGGAAAACGCGGAGUGUUGGGUUGGGUCACUGGUGAAAGGAGGAACGGUUCAUCGACAAGCAUGCGAGGUUCGUGGCGGCCUCGAACCUCUCCCAACAGGCUAUUGACUAGCAUUGUGUAUGCUGGUGUGUGACGAUUGGGAGGCCCUUCAGGCAGUCUUUCAUGCCCUAGUCGCUUCACAGCAAAACUACAACACACACAACAUAGGACUGUCCUUGAAGACUACCCAGAAGCUCCAACUGGACCAGAAUGCAUUAACACAGGAAUGGUCAAUUGUCUUCUGCCUGGAGCUCUUGAUGGAUCACAGAGACAUUGUGGAAGGAUCACGC